UACGAAGGGGGCUAGCGUUGUUCGGAAUUACUGGGCGUAAAGCGCACGUAGGCGGAUCGAUCAGUCAGGGGUGAAAUCCCAGGGCUCAACCCUGGAACUGCCUUUGAUACUGUCGAUCUGGAGUAUGGAAGAGGUGAGUGGAACUGCGAGUGUAGAGGUGAAAUUCGUAGAUAUUCGCAAGAACACCAGUGGCGAAGGCGGCUCACUGGCCCGGUACUGACGCUGAGGUGCGAAAGCGUGGGGAGCAAACAGG
rnacentral:rRNA from 1 species